CCCCGGGCGGAGGCCCCACCUCUUCGCAGCCCCAGGUUCUUCUUCCCCAGCACUUUGGAGAAAAUUGCUUGUUAGUUUUUGUGUGUGUUUGUUUGUUUUCAAGGCUUCCACAGGCAGCAGAGCUACCCCUCCUUUCAACUAAACGACCCAUUUAACAAGCAAGAUAAAGACCUCCUCAGAGCGCUACUGGCUGAGCAAAUCCACUGGGUCCUUUACAUCCCAAUGUCUUUUUAACCUUUUAUUUGCUUCUGUGGAAAACAAAAACACACAGAGAAGCACAUGACAGAUGAAAGGUAACAAUACCAUCAUCACACCUAAGAAAAUGAACAAAUCUCUAAUACUGUACUUAUUUACAUCGUCUUAAUUAUCCCCAAAAUGUCUUUGAUGAAUGUAGAAGUUUUAGUUUGCCUCUUCUUAAAUUUCAGUAAAUGUGUACUGUAUGUACUCUUUUGUGUUUGUUUCACUCAUGAUUAUAUCUGGGUGACUCACUCAUUGUUGUAUGUGACUGUAGUUAAUUUUUGUUCACUGCUAUGUUAAACUCCAUUUUAUGAAUAUGCAUAAGUUAUGUGUCUAGUCUUCUGCUCAUAGAUAAUUGAGUUGUCUUCCAUUCCGAAAUAAAACCACUAUUGAGACUCUU